UAGUUGGUGGGGUAAAGGCCUACCAAGGCGACGAUCAGUAGCGGGUCUGAGAGGAUGAUCCGCCACACUGGAACUGAGACACGGUCCAGACUCCUGCGGGAGGCAGCAGUGGGGAAUUUUGGACAAUGGGGGCAACCCUGAUCCAGCCGUUCCGCGUGAGUGAAGAAGGCRUUCGGGUUGUAAAGCUCUUUCAGCUGGAACGAAACGGUACGCUCUAACAUAGCGUGCUAAUGACGGUACCAGCAGAAGAAGCACCGGCUAACUACGUGCCAGCAGCCGCGGUAAUACGUAGGGUGCGAGCGUUAAUCGGAAUUACUGGGCGUAAAGCGUGCGCAGGCGGAUUGUUAAGCAAGACGUGAAAUCCCCGGGCUUAACCUGGGAAUGGCGUUUUGAACUGGCAGUCUAGAGUGUGUCAGAGGGGGGUAGAAUUCCACGUGUAGCAGUGAAAUGCGUAGAGAUGUGGAGGAAUACCAAUGGCGAAGGCAGCCCCCUGGGAUAACACUGACGCUCAUGUACGAAAGCGUGGGUAGCAAACAGGAUUAGAUACCCUGGUAGUCCACGCCCUAAACGAUGUCAACUGGUUGUUGGGGGAGUGAAAUCCCUUAGUAACGAAGCUAACGCGUGAAGUUGACCGCCUGGGGAGUACGGUCGCAAGAUUAAAACUCAAAGGAAUUGACGGGGACCCGCACAAGCGGUGGAUGAUGUGGAUUAAUUCGAUGCAACGCGAAAAACCUUACCUACCCUUGACAUGUCCAGAAUCCUGCAGAGAUGCGGGAGUGCCCGAAAGGGAAUUGGAACACAGGUGCUGCAUGGCUGUCGUCAGCUCGUGUCGUGAGAUGUUGGGUUAAGUCCCGCAACGAGCGCAACCCUUAUCAUUAGUUGCUACGCAAGGGCACUCUAAUGAGACUGCCGG
rnacentral:rRNA from 1 species